AUGCACAGCUGCGGUGCGCCCCGCCGCCCGCCAGAGGCUCGGCUCGCGCGGCGCGGCCGCUGCGACUUCCUGGAGUUCUGCCUGCCGGGGGCGCGGGCGGGUGUGUGAGAGAGAAGGCGAAGGGAGCCGCGGGGUGGGAGAGGAGGGAGUCCCGGCGGGAGGGCGGGGGAGAGGCUGGCGGGAGGGGGGCUCCACGGAGCUCCAGCCAGGGCCGCGGUUCGCCUGCACGUCACGGCUACUCAAACCCAAGCACGUCCCGAAAGCGGUAUUUUCUGCGUCUGGGAGGUUUUUGCAUCCUCAGUUCCCACCGCUGGGGCUGGCGGCGACCAACUGUAAGAGAAACUCACUGGGAGGCGAGGCAGGGGGGUGCGGAGGAUGGGAAGGCGACUCUGAAGGGUGGGAAGUGAAUGCUGGACUUGAUCGUCUUUCUCUUUCUUUCAGCGCAGACCUGUCGCAGCCAGAGAGCUGUCAUUUCAGUACCGGGAUUCAGAAUUGAUCCAGUCCGCAGCGGAGGGGGCACAUCCCAGCUACCGAGCUGCUGAGUGUCUCUGGCUGGAACAAUAGUAUUUUUUUCUCUGCGAGGCUGCAAUUAACAUCUUAUUUGUUCUGGCUCCAUACAGGCUUUGUCAGGAUCGCGGUGCGGCGACCGACGUUGGGCUCUUGCAUUGCUUUGUGCUUGGCAAUGGAAUCAUGGUUUCGGGAUAGUCAUUUUGCCUCCUGGACAGUUGGCUGACGAAGUGUCUGAUAAACCAGCUUCAGAUACAUGCUACAAAAGAAGUCCCACUUUAUCAUUAAUGAUGACAAUAACUAAGGCUGCCAGGAACAGCACAUCUGCUGAGCUUUAUCAACACCAGAUUCUCUCAUUUUGCCUUCUGGAUCUCCAUGCUUUUUUAUACCAACAAACAAGAGGAAGAAUAUUCUCUACCCACUUCCUUGACUGAAGCCUGCUCUUUUAUGAAGACAUGGCAUCUCUUCCAACCGUGUCAAACAGAUGCAAUUUAUAUGUCUGCUGCUUCCAUACCCUGAUUAAAUGGGUCAGUGGCAGAAUCAGUAUCCUUAGUCUCCCCUUUGGUUUCAAAUAUGUACUCCUUAUUUCAGUUUCAUGCUCACCUUUCUGUAGAGACCAAGGCAUCUGCCUUUGCAGCUUUACCUCUUCCUCCAGGUUAUAGUUUCCAUUCAUGGAAUCUUUUAGCUGCUGGCUGGCAGUUUUCCUGUCUACCUGACUUCCAUUCCUCUUCUCAUGACUUCAGCUCCCAUGCAGAUGUCUUAUCCUGACAUACUAGCUUCUCCAUUCUAUUUCUGUGUGUGUGUGUCUGUGUGUUUCCCUACUAGUUCAUCCACAUUUCCCUAUG
rnacentral:lncRNA from 1 species